rnacentral:misc_RNA from 1 species
UCCGGUUUGGCACCGGCAGUCUUCCUAGAGUCCCCGGCAUAACCCGCUGGCAACUAGGAACGGGGGUUGCGCUCGUUGCGGGACUUAACCCAACAUCUCACGACACGAGCUGACGACAGCCAUGCAGCACCUGUGCUACUGUCCCGAAGGAGGCCCCGGCUUUCACCGGGGUUACAGUAGCAUGUCAAGCCCAGGUAAGGUUCUUCGCGUUGCGUCGAAUUAAACCACAUGCUCCACCGCUUGUGCGGGCCCCCGUCAAUUCCUUUGAGUUUCAGCCUUGCGGCCGUACUCCCCAGGCGGGGCACUUAAUGCGUUAGCGCCGGCACCCGGGGGGUCGCUCCCCCAGGCACCUAGUGCCCAUCGUUUACGGCGUGGACUAC